UACAGAGGAUCCAAGCGUUGUUCGGAUUCACUGGGCGUAAAGGGUGCGUAGGCGGUCGGGUAAGUCUGAUGUGAAAUCUCACAGCUUAACUGUGAAACUGCAUUGGAUACUAUCCGGCUCGAGGAAUGGAGGGGAGACUGGAAUACUUGGUGUAGCAGUGAAAUGCGUAGAUAUCAAGUGGAACACCAGUGGCGAAGGCGAGUCUCUGGACAUUUCCUGACGCUGAGACACGAAAGCCAGGGGAGCAAACGGG
rnacentral:rRNA from 1 species